CGCGACCCAGCUCCGAGCUCACGUCAAUGCCCCACCCCCAGGAGACCCGGAAGCAGAAUUCCCCGCAGGUCAAAGCUGGCGGCGCUACUCCGGCGCCGCCGCCAGAGGGCGCUCACGCCACCUUUGUUGGCUCGCGCCUCACGGGUCAAGUCAGCGGCCGGUCCCGGAAAUGGAGGGCUUUGCCGUACAAGAUGUACAACAUGGCGGCUUCCUGUGUGGCGGUACGGCACGCUGAGAGGCUGGCCUGUUUCUGGGACACGCGGGGAUUGUAGCAGGCUCCUCGCGAAAGACGGCUUCCGCGGAGUUUCCCGGUGUCUUUGUCGUCGGGCCACAGCAUGCGGCUUGCGGGAUCUUAGUUCCCCCACUAGGGAUCGAAGCUGGGCCCCCUGCAGUGGAAGCACAGAGUCCUAACCACUGGACCACCAGGGAAUUCCCCCCAAACUGUUUUUAGAAUGUAAAACAGAUGAAAUGGAAGUUGUUUGGGUUACAGAAGAGCAGUGAGCUGCAGCCGUGCCCAGAAGACCUUCGCCGUCCUUGCUGGUUGGCUUCUGAGGCCCUCCGCUGGCGCCCUGGGACAGCGUUGGAGCCUCGGGCACAGGAGGCACACCGACGGCCACUGGCCCCUCAGGAGGGCUGGCUAGAACAGCUCUGACCCUGAGACCUGGGCCACACGAGUCAUCGGCUUUUGAGAAGGGACUCUCAGCCUGUGCCCAGGCAGCAUCCCAGCCCCCCACACCAUGCCAGCUGUACUUUCUCGUUUGUUUUCCUGGGAUAUCGACUGCAGCCCAGAGAGGAGGCCAAGGAGAAGCAUGAGAGCCCCAGCGAGGGCCCCCCCCCCCCUGCCCUGAACCUGAAGGCGGCUGCUUCCUUCCAGCCUGCACCCUGGAGGAGGCAGCCUGCUCGGAUGUCCAGGCCACACCUCCUGAGCUCUCCCUGCAGCACACCAGCCCCAUCAGAGGGGAGCUGGGAACGUGGUGGAUGACCACAGCCGCCAGGAGGAAGUGGACUGGAAGAGUUCUUCACUUCUCCAAAGUUAUGCUUACUGGUGGCUUUCGGAGUCUGUAUAAGGUGGGGGUGGGAGUGGGGUGAAGACCAUACCAGCCAGGAAUGAAUCCCAACUUUGUUACUGACCACUAGUAGCCAUGUGACACUGACAGGUCAUUUCAGUGUUCUGAUCCUCACUCUCCAUUCUAAAGUGGAGGCAAAAAUUAAGCAACUCCUACUGUUGUCACAGGGACCAAAUGUCAUCUUGCAGUGGGGUUUCCAGAUCUUAGAAUUGGCAUGCCACCUGCAUGAUUUUGGCCAUAUCUUCAUGCCGGUUUUACUAUUACUUACCUAAUUAUCCCCCCAAUUGGUUUGCCUUUUAAACAUGUCCUGAAGAGAUACUGCUCAUAAAAUUGGGUUUGUUUCACAUGUUAUAUUUUCCUACUCUACCUUAAAAUAAGUAGACAAUGAUUAAAAUUUAAAACGUU